GGUGUUUUUUACCCUAUUUUCUCUUGGAAACAGAUGUGUACUUUAUUUCAGGCGAGCUUUCUGCUCUCCCCCCCCCCCAGCCCCCCCCCCCCCCCCCAUACCUGCUAAUUCCCCGAGUUUAUCCGUGCCACAGACAAUAAAGCCAUAAAGCUGCCUGCAGAAAUUUGUUUGCCGUAACGACGUGUUAUUUGAGCCCCGGCUUUCGGGACUCUGACACUUGCCCAGAUCAAAGAACCCCCUAAAAAUCGCCGGGUGCUUCGGGGCCGGGGCGGGGGGACGCGGGCGGCCCGGGGAGGAGCCCGGUGCCGGGGGAGCCCGGGGGGGCCCCUCUCGUCCCGGUGCAGCUCCCGGAGGGCUCCGCACCCCCGGUUCCGGGGCUGUCCCCAGCCUUGCCAGGACGUUUUCCCCGCUCCCCAGCUGCUGCUUUUGGGUGGGUGUCCCUGCGAACUGCGCCUACCUUAGACGGUUUUACGGCCCCCCGUCUAAUUGCCCGGUAUUAGUUUUACUACCAGAUACCGGCUCCUGAAAAGUAGGUUUAAAUUACGUGUUGCAGAAGCGAUACCAUAAAGCAGCAGCAAACAGAAUCCCUCCUCCAACACAUUUAUGGGCUAAGGCUGCAAAGAUCACAGGCUUCAGGUUUUGCCUUCGGUUUAAAGGUUGGCCCGGCACGGGAAGUCAUUUGAUAAACCUUAAGCUGUACUUCAUAAUCUUUACUGCUUUAUGGAGCUUUCCAAAUCUUUAACACACUGUAACCUUUUCAAGACAGAUUGCCAGACAACAUUUCGGUGUUGGGUUUACUUAAUGCGGCGCUGGCGAGGAAGUGAAUUUUCACGGUGCCCACAUUACUGCCGGGCACUCCCCCCCCCCCGCCCCCUCCCGCUCCCCGGCCCCGCGGAGCCGUCGCCUGCGAAGAUUUAUGAAAGCUGCGGAUCUCUAAUAUCGUGCGCACGGAUUUUGAUCCGUCAGAUUACAGCCUCCGCCGUGUCUGAGGCUGCCGCUGGUGAAGGGCGCUUGUGUACGGAGCGCGGAUCAAAGGCUCGAAACGCCCUCUCGUGUUUACUCGAGUUGCAAAAGAAAGGAAAAACAGACACCUCUCGGGCAAUCAAAGCAUCGCCUCGCCGCCGCCGCAAUCCAACACCCGGCGGGAGCCGCGGUCCCGGUCCCCCCCCCCCCCCACCCCGGGUUCCCCUCCUCAAAUCACCCCGUGACGAAACGACCCCACCCGUGUGACGCUAUCAGGCUGCUUCUUUUCUGAUUUCUGCAAUAAAUUAACGGCGGUGACAGGCGGGAGGCUGAGA
rnacentral:lncRNA from 1 species